AGCAACCAGGAGGAUUUGCUUGGGGUUUACAGCUGUAUGAGGAUACAGGAGUGGGGAUUUCCCCAAUUCAUGCCUGUGGGAAUGAGGGCAAUACCAAUGCUUCUUCUGCUGCUAUUAGCAUUCAUGCAGAGGAAAAACGCUGCUGUCACAGGACAAUCG